rnacentral:rRNA from 1 species
ACUCCUACGGGAGGCAGCAGUGGGGAAUAUUGCGCAAUGGGCGAAAGCCUGACGCAGCGACGCCGCGUGAGGGACGAAGGUCUUCGGAUUGUAAACCUCUUUCAGCAGGGACGAAGCGAAAGUGACUGUACCUGCAGAAGAAGCACCGGCUAACUACGUGCCAGCAGCCGCGGUAAU